rnacentral:rRNA from 1 species
CAGCAGCCGCCGGUAAUACGUAGGGUGCAAGCGUUAAUCGGAAUUACUGGGCGUAAAGCGUGCGCAGGCGGUUAUAUAAGACAGAUGUGAAAUCCCCGGGCUCAACCUGGGAACUGCAUUUGUGACUGUAUAGCUAGAGUACGGCAGAGGGGGAUGGAAUUCCGCGUGUAGCAGUGAAAUGCGUAGAUAUGCGGAGGAACACCGAUGGCGAAGGCAAUCCCCUGGGCCUGUACUGACGCUCAUGCACGAAAGCGUGGGGAGCAAACAGGAUUAGAGACCCCUGUAGUCCCUGUCUCUUAUA